UUUUUUUUUUUUUUUUUUUUUUUUGUGAAAAGGACAAUCGACCAAAAGGCCUAUGGAAAAAAGCUUUAGGUUUGGGCCAAUAUUGUAUUCCAUCUACUCUUCAUGAUGGCCAUCGUGCUUGACUCAUCAGGCAUUGCUUUUGAUUUCAAAACAGCCCAAGUUCAAACUAAGUCGGUCAGAUUGGGCUUAGUGCCAUAUCCAGCACCACACCCCUUUGAAAACUUAUUAACAUGGUUUCAACACUUUUGUACUUUUUUUCUUUUGGAAAUGUUAUUUACACUCCCAUUUUUGUUAUUCACACUCCCUCAAUCAUUUUAAUGAUAUAGUUUUCAUUCAUUAUACUAUAUGAUAAAACAAAUGGUGGAAGUACAAAUAAUAAAAAAUAGUAUAUUGGGAUAUUUCCCUUUUGGAUAUUUGGAUAUUUUCCUUUUAUUUUUUAGAAAAAUAUGGCUUCAACACAUUAAUAAUUAGGGAUGGCAACGGGGGCGGGCACCCGCCCCGUGGGGGGUCAUUGGGGCGGGGGCGGGGGAGUACCCACCCCCUGCCCCGCCACCCGUUUGAAAAAAUAUAUAUGUACAUAAUUAUAUAUAUAAUGAUAUUAUCAAUUAUACUACUAAUUAUACAUGUCUAUUAAUAAAAAUUAUUAAUUAUUUAUACUAAAUUUAUUAAUACAUUUAUGUUAAAUUCCUAACUACACUUAAUACAAUAAUACUUUUUUCUAAAAAAACACAAUAUUAAUUUAGUGAUUGUAUUUGUAUCAAAAGUGAAAACUUGAUUAUUUUAGUUAUAUUUAUUUUAUCAUAUUAGAUUGUAUUCAAAUAACCUUUGUUUAAUUAUUUUUAUGAGUUUCAAUUGUAAAGUUACAAUGAAUAAUAAUUUAGUAAUAUGUUGAUAUUUUAGUAUUUGAUUAUUUGCUCAAAUUUAAUUAUAUUAAAAUUUUUUAACCCCACGGGUGCCCUCGCAGAGGAAGCGGAGCAGGGGAAGCCGGGGGCUGGGGCGGGGGGAAUUAAAAUGCAAUGGGGUGGGGGUUGGGGAGGUGUCCCCCGCCCCAUUGCCACCCCUAUUAAUAAUGGAUGAAUGGAUGCAGGCCGCUUCUCUUAGGGGUUUCUAAUUUUUCAAGGGAUGAAUACAAAAAUUUACUUAAUUUUCACUUCAAAUCGAAUUUGUAAUUUAUUUGUAGAAUCGAAGUAUUAGACUACUAAUAAACUUUGUAUGAUAUAACAUCAAUCUGUUGAAUUAUGGCUUAAAAAAAGUAGUUUAUGGACUUAUUCUUUCGUUAUUCCCUCCUUAAAGGUCCAUGAACUAUACUAUAUAUGAAGCCACAUUUUAGCAGAUUCGUAAUGAAAUAAUACUGAGUGUACAUUUGAAAUUUAUUUCCCUUUUAGUUCCUAUUAAAAUUGUCAAUGCUAAAUAACAAAAUAUAUAAAACUGAAUAAUGUCAUUUGGAUCCCAUUAUUAUUCUUGACAAACAAAUCUUCAUGUCAAUCCAAUCUUCUUGACAAACACAUCUUUUCAAAUCAAAUUCAUGUCAAACCAAACACAUCUGAUGUUGAAAAUUCAUGAUAUUCCUAAUUUUUCAAGGUAUUUGUCUGUUUUCAUUAGAGAAGCCUGCAAUUAAUUUUUCCACAUCCUUGUGACAAUUCAACUGUCUCAUGAUUAGGCUUCAGACCUUACUCAUAGUGAAAGGCUACCUAUCUUUGCUAAAGGGACCUAAGUGAGCAAACAAAUCCUUCAAACUUUUCUAAAGAAUCCUCUCCUUUUUUUUUUUUUUGCCAAAUAGAUCAAUUGUGGUCUAUUUGAUCAUAAUUCUUUGCUUUUCAUAUCCAUAAAAAAUUAUUUAAAUCUGACAACAUUUCUUUUUUUAAAAAAAAAAAUUUACUAACAACUAUGACAUAAAUUGAUGUAAUACUUGUCACAGAUUUCAAUUUUCUUAGAAAAAGAAAAAGAAAAUCAUUUUCCAUCACUUUCCCUUGGAGAGGCAUAACUACAACCACCAACCCUCAACCCCAAAAAAAAAAAACAAAAGAAGGGUUCUUUAAUACUAUUCUGAUUUCUGAUCUAUUGAAGUAUAAUUUGUUACCCAAGGCUGCUUGUCCAUAUACAAGCAGUGGAAAUGUGGAAAUUAAUGAAAGUAACUUUUUCAAGCUUACGCAUAAAAUCUGUCAUCCCUUUAGGCCACCUUCUGGUCCCUCUGUGCUCUUGGUUGAUGGAACAAUUAAACAACUGCUGUGGACAAAGGGCUUAAACCUCUUAUUCUCAUUAUGUACGUACCAAAGACUAAUCAUCAUUAGAUAAUGAAUCAAUGAUAAUGAAUUGUACCGAGGAAGUAGAUCAACACUUAAACAAGACUCAAUAAAAAAUCAAUCUGAAAGUGGCCUUAAAGGUUAUACAUAUAUAAUUUCUUCCUCUUUUUCUUUUUUUUUUUUCUUUUCAAAACAGAUGCAAUGAUUUAUUGCCAAUAUAAAUUUGGUCACAAGUUAUCCAGUAUGAAGCAAGUAUAGGAAUUAAUUUGCCCAUUUCCACAAUGUAAAUUAGACAGUAGUAUAGUCCCGAGAUUUAGUGUACAGGAAAUUUGAUCAAGAAAGACAAAUUUUGGUUAACCUUCAAAUGGUAACUUAAUUAGAAUGCUAGAAUUACUGAUAUAUACGUGCUUAUUCUUGAAAUACUUGUACACCAGAUGGAAAUUAAGUUUAUUUAGUGCACAAAAUUAUAGUACUAAUUAUAAGUUCUUUAGUUAUACUAAUCAUAAUUUGUGCUUUGGUGCUAAAUUUUUCAUGCGAAGUAAUCAUGGCUUGAAUGCUAGCAGAUGAGACCUGAUGAUAGAUAGAUAGAUAAGCCGUCAACGUAGGGUUGUUGCAUGUUUAUAUACUCUACGUACAAUGCAAGAAGUUCCAUUUCUUGAAGAAAUAUUGGAAUGUCCCUUUUGCAUAUAAUUAUGCAUGUCUUCCUCUUCCUUCCUUGGCAGAUUUUGGAAAUGCUUUGCUGGCCCCAACACACCAAACAAUGACCUAUCCGUUCCAUGCAAGGCACUUUGACUUGGCCAACGCGUUAGAGAUUAUUAUUAUUACUACUAUUUUCAUCGCCUACAAAAAUCUUUAACUGCAUGCUUCUUGCCUUUGCUUUGCUUUGCUUUGCUUUGUUUUUUGAGGAGAGAAUGAUAAUAAUCAUAUUUUUGUGUGCAAAAAGACGGUUGGAUUUAUGGAGAAUGCGGUUUCUCUUCACAGAUUUGUUCAGCCAUUUAGCUUGAUCAAUUCUUUAUAUGAUUUGACUAUCUAUCUACUCAGUUACCUUACAACUAGUAAUGGUAAUUCUGAGUUCAGCAAUGACAUUAGUGAUUCAACUUAUUAUAUCCAAAACUGACCAAACAUAAUAAAAUUGUACAUGCAACUGAAAUAUUUCCUUUUUUAGUCCUUUUAGUGUCUGGAUAAUGCUGCCUCGGUGUGGGAGCCUUAUUUAGAAACCUCAUAUUUUGGUGCAGAGAAUAGAUAUGUUGGCAGCAGGGUACCCUUUGGGAUUUUCUAUCCCACAUCGGUAUUGGGAGGGGGAAGGGUUUGGGUAGAUAAGUCUCUCAUAGGAAUUCAAAAGUUGCCGGCUUUUGAAGUUACUGUGGGGAUUAAAUUUAUUUAAGGUAAAUUCUUACUUCUAUAAGAAAAAUGUCAGAAAGAGUAGAUAUGUUGGCCUUAAUUAAAGAGUAGUAUAGUACUACAGAGAGAUUGAAUACCCUUUAAGAUUUUAGGGAUAUAGUUUCACAAACCUCCCCAGAGGUUGGUCUUAAUAUCACUUAAUAUUCUCGUGGUCUCAAAAAUGCCUUUUACCUCCCCUCCAUUGACAUGAUUCGUAACAUAUAUAAUUUGUCACUACUCCUCAUGCUUUAAAAAAUUCAUAGACAAUGAGAGAUAAUAGUUUACUUCCAUUUGUACCCUCCCUGCUAUCCUUUAUAUAAAUAUUAGAGGAGCAAUUAAGACUAAAACCUACCUAAUAGGCAAAAGACAAAUUGGAAGAGAUGUAAGUGCAAUAAAGAGAAGUCGCAAUUAUAAAUGGUACUUUUGCUAAUUGUUGUCUUAAAUUUUUGUACACUUCAAAUUCUUUUUUUUUUUUUUUUGUGCAAACUUUAGUUAAUCAAUUAAAGAUUUCUAGAAGGAUAAUAUCAUCAAUUGACUACCUAGCUAUGACAGAGAAAUCUUUGUCUUGUCAAUCUGACAAGGGAAGCAAGAGAGCUUUUUGAAACUAUAAGAAUACUAAUUGAUAUUAAGAUAAACCUCAGGUGAGAUUUGUGAAUUAUCCCAAGAUUUUAUUGAGGACCAUUGGAGGGCGUCUUCCAAGGGUGGUCAAGAGAGAAAAUAGCCAAGCAGGGCAAUAACCACCAUCAAAAUUUUGUAAUUUCUUAUACUAUAGAAAAUCAAUAAUAGGCGAAAUGAAGGGUGGGAUUAUAUAAUCUUGAACUUCUCUUUCAAAAUGAAAGUUUUCAUUUGGCUUUUUAGAACUUUUUAUGUCAGGGAAGCAGGUUUCUGCUACUCCAAAUCCCAAAGUGCUUUCACUGAGGCAUCAUCUUUGAAUUUUCUCUUUCCAUCAAUUUUUUUGGGGGCGGGUCUCUUGGCAGUAUAAAGGAAGUUUCUUGUCCAUUAGUCCAAUAUUUUCAGCUAAUUGAGCCGUGUCUCAAAAUCAAAUAAUCAUCAACUUUGGCCUGUUCUUCCUCGUAAAUAAAAUAGAAGUAUUUUCCAUUUGGUAUAAUUAAGAACUACACCAGUCCCAUUUUCGUUAAUGCCAUUCUUGGCCGGCCUUGAAUUCUUUAGGUGUAAUUACACUGGGGAGGUGCUUGAUUUGUGGCUUUCACGAUAAGUUAACUUAUGAGUUUUAAUUUCAAUCGUACCCACAUACUAUAAUAUUUGUUUUAAGGUCAAUUGGAAUCAGUUAAUGAAUUUCAUAGAUUCCUUCUCGGGGGUUUCAUGAUUAACUAUUAAAAAGUGGAGUUUCACUUAUCUUAUUACUAGUAUUUUUUUGUUUUUUAGAUUAAUCUUGAAUACAUUAAUAGUGUAUAUGCUAAUACCCUUUGAUUGAUAAUAAUGCCACAUCUGCAAAAAACGAAGUUCGAAUUCAAACAAAAAAAAAAAUUAAGCGGCUUGCAUCUGAGGAGGGUGCUAAUGCAUACAUUUUCAUUAUAUACAAGAUUAAUCUUUAUUUUCUUUUGAUUGCUAAAAUCUAUUGCUGUAAAGUUAUCAAAUACUCAGUGGUGUUCUUAUCAAACCUGGUGUUUUUCCCCAAUUUACCAUAGUAACCGUACCUAAAGUAUAGUCAUAGUGAUUGUGGAAUUCGAACCAAAUAUAUACUAUUGAAACUAAAUCCCAUUUCUUGUCUCAAAACCCAUCUACCAAACGCACCCUAAGUGCUACAGCUAAAUUUACUACUGGAAGCUAAGUUUUAUGACAGAUCAUAAUCAGCAGUUGUAUCAUACCAGUUGAUCUCUCUCUAUUUCUGCCCUUUAUUUUUUUGGGGGUCAAAUGUAGAUAAUAGAUUAUCCUAAUGUUAACCUACUAGGCACUAGCUUUAGAUUAUGUACUUCUAGAACAGAUCAGAGAUGUAUUAGACUUUUCCAGUACUAGACUUCUCCAGCUCUGUUCUACCCCCAAAAAAGGGGGGAAUUUACAGCUCUGAACUCUGAUAAUGUCGGUCAAAGAAGCUCAAAAUUUUUAGCAAGAAUUGUCUGCAUAUGCAGGGACCCCAUCAAAUAAUAUCCCCAUCAAUGGCCCUAAUCUUCAUCCCUUAACUUUGGGUUGAAGGAGGCAAGUUUCGUGCUUUAACAUUCAUUCACACUUCACAAUUCACGUCAAAGAUUCCUCCAUAGUUUACUUUAGUCCCCUUCAAGUUCCCCUGAGUUACCUCUUCGCCCCAUCUUCUCAGUCUUCAGCUUCAAGGCUUGGACUUCUUUACUUAUAAAUAAACUCCCACUUUUGUCUUUCCAUUUGUCCCAGUGUCCCCAACCCCAACUAUCUUCUCACAUCUGUCUCUCUUUCUUUCUGUGCUUCACCUUUUUCCAGCUUUGAUUACUCCCUUUUGGUCUUUUCCAAUUAAUACACACACACAGAUACAUAAACCAUAAACAACUUUUGUUUCUGCAGCAAUAUCAGCAUGGCUCCUAAGUUGGUAUUCUUGAUGCUUAUGGUCUUCUUGACUAUAAGCUUCAAUCAGGUGUUAGCUUCAGAUCCAGACAUGCUUCAAGAUGUUUGUGUUGCUGAUCUCACAGGUACCCCAAACUGACUUCUUCUACCUUCUUUUAGAUUAUGGACUGUAACAUUAAUAACGUUCAUUGCUUAGUUUUUCAAGUUCCUUGAACCUUAGUUGGUAAUUGGCUUCAAUUCUUGAUCCAAUACAAGCAUUUAGAUGUGUUGGUAGUUGUUAGUUCCUUUUCACUUGUCCUUUUCUUGCACAUUUUGACAUUGACUGCUCGUUACUUUUCUUUCUGUGUUGAUGCUGAUCACUCUGUUGGAAAUCAACACACCAACUAGGAAGAUAUUUAUCAGACAUGUACUGUGUAUAUGCAUUUUAGCUGCUGCCUUGUGCCAACUACUUUCGCAGCUAUUCAACUACUCUGUUUGGGGUCGGAUUUAAUGUCUGUCGGACUGACACCUAAAUUUUUGGUCCAUGAGAAUUUAAAGUAGUGAUGAUUCAAUAUUGUUCAGUCUCAAACUGUACAUGAUAGGACCAAAGAUACAUUUAUGAUAAUUAAUGUUAUGCAGUUAUCUAUCCUGUAAAAGAGAAUUAAUCUCUGAAGCAUGAUAGCUGUAUUCUAGUAGUAAUUAUUAGACUGCGUGUGGAGGAAAAAGAAGAAAAACGCUCGCCUGCUCAAAUCUUGUUUACUUGCCCUUGACAUGAAGAUCUACCCCUUGAACAAAUGCAGAGAGAUAGCAUCUCUGAGCAGGGUUCAAUCUUACGUUUGUUUUACUACGUGCUAAUACAUUGCUCGAAAUUGUGACUGAGAUUUUACUCCUUCUGUUCUUGUUAUUCAUCAAAAACAGGUAAACCGAAGGUGAACGGAUUCAUUUGCAAGGAAAAUAUAACGGCUAAUGACUUCUUCACCACCAUCCUUGGCACCCCAGGAGCAACCAACAAUACCUUCGGGUCAGUGGUCACGGGAGCCAAUGUUGAGAAGGUCCCUGGUCUCAACACCCUAGGUGUGUCCCUGUCCAGGAUCGACUACGCCCCUGGUGGCCUGAAUCCACCCCACACCCACCCCCGUGCCACAGAAAUGGUGUUUGUAUUGGAAGGUGAACUAGAUGUUGGGUUCAUAACCACUGCCAAUGUCCUCAUUUCCAAGUCCAUCAAGAAAGGUGAAGUAUUCGUCUUCCCCAGAGGCCUAGUCCACUUCCAGAAGAAUAAUGGGAACCUGGCAGCAGCCGUUAUCUCGGCCUUCAACAGCCAAUUGCCUGGAACUCAAGGCAUUUCCGUAACAUUAUUUGCAUCUAAUCCACCAGUUCCGGAAAAUGUGUUGACCAUGGCAUUCCAAAUUGGUAGCAAAGAAGUUGAUAAAAUCAAAUCAAGGCUCGCCCCCAAGAAGUAGAUGAUACACUGAUUUAAAAGCAAGACGUCGUAUUCAUGUUGUUCUUCAAAAUAAAACAUAAAAAAAAAAAAGAAGUGGAUUCGAAGUUAGUUUGUCAUUUCAAAUUUAGUUUGUCAAAGUUAAUGUUGUAAGUAAAAUGCAUGUGAAUUUUGUCUUUGCUUGACAACACAAUAAAAUGUGAUUGUUCCAUCCAAGUAAGGUUCUUGAUGGGCAGAUUGCCUUGCUGCCAUGUCCAUUUGAUAUUCAACUCUUAGUUGAUUGCCUACAUUUGUGCAUGUCCAACAAUAUAUGUAUUUACAGAGAUAAAGUCCUUGUUUUUGGCGUUCAUACACGAAGAAGCCAAUUUACUUGAGAAACGCUAGAAGAGAAAAAUCUUCUUCUAACCUGCUGGUGAAGUGACUAUAUGUUCGACAAUUAUGGCUAUCCAACUCAAUUUCUCGAAUUAAAAUUAACAACAGUCCUGCAAUAUAAUGACAUACUUGUAAGAAUAACAAGGCUGCAAAGACAAACUAGUAACUUUUGCCCAGAACAAUUUUUUCCCAGUUUUAUUAAACAAAGAUCAAAAUUGCUCCCAAGAUGGUUAGUUAGCAGCUUUGGAGCCACUCCUCUUUCCUUCAUAAAACCAGAUCAACCGAAUGACUUAGCUUCCAAAUAUGGUAGCUAAUGAUAACUAGAGUUGAUUAUUGCUUGAUGCAUUCAAUGUAAGUUAAGUGAUUGGAGUUGAUGCAUUCAUGAACUGCAAAGUAAGUAAGUGAAUGAUAGAUAUAAGGCUGCUACCAAGUAAAUGAUUGGAGGGUAGGUGAAUCAUAAAGGUCUGGGCUACCUAACAGUUUAAAAGUUGAGCUCAAGUUUGCGGUCCUCCCUCACUAGGGUAGAGUGGGAAACAAUUCUUGAUUUUGCUUAAUUAGUACACAAAAGUGAUACUAAUACCACUAAUAGCCACAUUAUGGCACAAUCUAUCUCCUGGCUUAGAUGUGGACGCCAAUCCCCAGUUCCCCACACCCUCAUCUGCUGCAUUCAUGGGAGGAGCAAGUGAACCACUUGUGGUACUCCUAUUUUUCCUGGCUUGUUUGGUGGGGGUCUUUGAAGAGCUAAAUUUUGAUUGCGAUGCACUUUAAAAGGAGAGAGUUACUAAGGUUGAAAUUCUAAAACUUACAAAUUCUAUAUCCAAAUUCCAGUUUCCUCCUCUCCACUUUUUAAAUCUUACUAUUCCUUUGCUCUAGAGUAAAAAAAAGUGAAGAAAAAAAAAAAUAGAGGAGGAGGUGCUAAUGAACCACUGAUUAAUCAGUAAGCCUUAUCAGUUGGAUCAUUAUUUGCUUGUUAACAACUCUAGUAAAUCCAUACACUGAUUUAUUAGCAACAAUCCUAAUCAUCUGCUCGAACGUGUCAAUACAAUAAGCAAACCUGCAAUAAUUUUGCCCAUCUCUAUCAUCAAGCAGACAUUGAGGUCCCCGGGAUUAGUUUGCUCCACUUAGUUUAAUGGGUAAUAUUAGUUGUCAUCUGCUCUCACGCCUUCUUUUGCAACCGAUUUUAUAUGGAUUUGACAAUAAUAUAUCUAAGGGAUACACGUAGAUAUAUGAUCUCGAUUUAGCCUUGUUUGUGUUGUGAUUUUUUGCUUUUCAUGAAUACAUUUCUCGAUCGCCUCCUAAAAAUAGCAAUCCCAAUGGAUAGGAAUGAAACAUGGCACCACUAAUUUUUUAAGCAGUCCAAACGGGUAAAAGCAUGGCACUACAAAUUUUUUAAGCAAAGCUGUCAUUGCCAUGAUUUUCUAUUCUGCAUCUUUUUCCAGUCUACAUAAAAAAAUACUUGAAAAGGCAGAACAAGCCAAAAAGUGCCAACUACUAGUUCUAAGUUCCCAGCUCAGAUCCGUAUUCAACUAAUUCUACGGCUUCUAAAAUAUCCGGCCACGUUAAUUAUUGGCUCGCUCACUUGUCAUAUGAAUGGCACUGCUCUGCUCUGACCAAGACCAGUUCAACGGCUAUAUCUCGCCCAGCAAAUAGAAUAACGAAAGCUUGCACUAGUUUGGGAGACAUGGAAAAUAAAAGUGAGGAGAAAAGAGCUAAAGAUUGAGGAAGACUAAGGGAGGUUAAAAGUCGUCAAAAACGUUCAUAUGAUUCAGGUGAUCCUGAGCGCGUUGCAUGACACUACAAAAAUGAUAAUACAAGCAUCUUUAAGAAUCCAACAUACAAAAAAUAGAAAGGAAAAAGAAAAAAGAAAAUUGACUAGUAACUCGUGUAGUUUCACAGUCACAAAUUGGCUUACAACCAACAAUCCCACCAG
rnacentral:lncRNA from 1 species